rnacentral:rRNA from 14 species
GUCUAUGGCCAUACCACCCUGAACGCGCCCGAUCUCGUCUGAUCUCGGAAGGUAAGGGUACAAUGAAUAAUGCCUUAUAAA